UACGUAGGGUGCAGGCGUUAAUCGGAAUUACUGGGCGUAAAGCGUGCGCAGGCGGUUUGCUAAGACAGGUGUGAAAUCCCCGGGCUUAACCUGGGAAUUGCAUUUGUGACUGUACGGCUAGAGUGUGUCAGAGGGGGGUAGGAAUUCCACGUGUAGCAGUGAAAUGCGUAGAGAUGUGGAGGAAUACCGAUGGCGAAGGCAGCCCCCUGGGAUAACACUGACGCUCAUGCACGAAAGCGUGGGGAGCAAACAGG
rnacentral:rRNA from 1 species